rnacentral:lncRNA from 1 species
CGGGCAACAGAAUGUCAAUUUGCGUUGUAAUAAUUGUCUAGAUCGGAGUAGAGUUUUGGCUUGUGUGUGCAGGAUUAACUACGAUAACGAUGAAGACAUUAAGCGAAACAAAGUGUCGGAGUCAAGCACGAAGGAUUUGUUGCGAGUUCGAGAGUUCGACUGAAGUCCGAAGGUUCGUCGGGAAUGCUGCCGGAACUAGCCGAGAAUGAGUAGGGAGCUUGCCGAAGGGUUUUUCGGAAGCUCGC